CGUCUAUCCGCCAUCUUUACUGAGGGCAGUUGCGGCGUGAGGGGGUCUUCAGGUUGAAGGCGUCGUGUUCCUGAGCUAGGUUAACCUGCGGAAAAGAAGCUGGAAGUGACGCCCGGCCUCGACUACAUGCUCCGGUCAGGUGGAGAAGACCAAUCAGGAUUCUGGUUCUGUUCUUGCCUGUGCCAUGACUCACUAGGUAACCUUAGUUGUUGGGAACUGAACUUGGAGUAACCUAGGAGAAAAGGGCGAUUUAUUGGGAGAACUGAGAAUCUGAGGAAAUUCUGAACAUCCCAGCAUGGGAAGGACCAGGGUGCUGCUGGCCUUCAAGAACAGGAUUGUGGCCCAAGGAGACAGAAUGCAAAAGAGCCCAUCGUCCCUCUGCACCCUCUCUGCUGUGGUCUCUGCAGCAGCUCUCUGGAGCUCGCUUUUUAAGAGUUGUACCGUGUGUCUUGUUUAGCUGCAUCAUAAUUAAUGAAUCCACCUCGAGUGACGAACAUGGACUGGGAACAGGACAUGCUGUCCACGCAGCUUUAAGUGUUCUAGUGAGGAAGACACCUUGGGGACUGGCAGAAAAUUAAGAGUAAAAGAGCCUCAGUCAGCAGUGACCUUGGGCAGAACUGCCUGCCAACCUGGACCUCUCUCCCCAGGACUGUCAGAGUCACAGAGCGCUGGAGCCGGGAGGAGCCUUCCAGAUCCCGCCGGGGCUGGGCCGCUUAUCUCAACAGCAGCAGUCACACAUCUCUGAGGCAACAAAGCUCGAAGCUGUCAUUUCAAAGAGCCAGGAAUUUUGCACACGUUACAAGUGAGGAAACUGAGGCUCAGAGAGGAUGAGAGACUUGUUUAAGGUGACGUAAGUCCGAGGCAAAACCAAGCCAGACCUCUUUCCUGCAAAGCAGGUGAGGACAUCUCAACGUCUGUGGCCUGGCUCUGUCCCCCUCCCUGUGAAAGCAGGCCUUCAGGGGCACCCCUACUCUCCACACGCCUGUGCCUGAGGCUUCUGGGGCAAGCCUGGAGCAGGAAGAGCUCACAGGCAUUGCUGCUGAACCCGAAGCCAAGAGGUGCUUGUUCAUGGCGGGCUUUCAUGAGGCAGCCUGUGAACGGGUGAUGAUACUGCCGCGUCCCAGGCGUCAGCCUCGUGGUUUGCAGCGACCUCCUGGCACCAGGGUGGCGCGUUGUGCACUUUUCAGUGAGCCUGACCAUGCUGGGUAAUGAGAGACCAGUGCCAGAACAUGCACUUCCCCAGACGGAAUGAUGACCCAGCGACUGGGGACAGGGAGGUGGCUCCACACGUCCUUGAGAGAGUCACCAGGGAGUGGCUGGGCACCAGGAUGGGAAGUCUUCCUGCGGCUCUAGAGCAGAGAGAAACUCCUGCGCCUCAGGCAUUGUGCGGGCCACAGAUGUGUUUUACUUCACCUAAUGGUGCUUAAAAUUUUUAGACUUCAUAGUCAGUAUUUAAACUGACUCAGUGAUUUCACACGAACACCCAGAUUUCUGGCUUCUUCUGGAAAUGAGACACCUGGCAGCACAGGGCCUGUCUGUGUGCACGUCACCGCUCACGAGCUGGGUUCCUGCCACCAUCCUGCGUCUGGGCUGCCUGUCCACACGGCUCGUCCUGGUUCCAGAGUCAAGUGAAUGCUUGGAAGGGCUUCUAACUCUAAGGACAUUUUUGAAGUGAGUGUGGCUACUGUUCUCAAGUUAGUUAAAGAACUCGAGAGAGUGAAGUGGUGACUGAAAGCAGCUGAUGUGGGUGAGGACAACUCUACCUCAGUGUUGGAGAAACUGCUGCUGUUUUAGCAACUGGAUGAGAAUUCCCUUCUCGGGAGCCACGACUUGGUGGAAAGUGCCAGCUCUCGGAAGGUAGUUGCCACUGGCACCACGUGUACAGAGGAGGCCAAACCCACCCUGGGAGCUGGUGGGGAGACUGUCUGCUCCAGAGAGAGAGCAGAGAGCAGCAGGACGGAAGCUGGCUGGGCCACAUGCUCCUUCCCCACAGACUUCUGCACCUUCAGAAAGUUCUACAAAAAUUCAGGACAUGUUUGAUAGGUGAGAGGGGAAGGGGGUGACCCUGGCAAAAGGACUGGGACUUGUCCCGGGGUGAUGUGGGGUGGAAGAGAGAUGGUAUCCGUGAACCAGGAGCUGCACUGUGCCCAUGAGGAAGGCUGGGAGCGGGAGGAAAUUCCUAGCAGGCUCGGGAUGUCCUCCCCACCUUGGGGGUUGAGGCAGUACUUCCGGUAUCUCACGGCCCACAAGGGCCCAGCUGACACUGGGAUAUGUGGAAAUACGGGUUAACUAUUCAUAUGAUCACCUGAUUUUUGGAGAAGCAGGGUUAUUGAUUGGAAACGUCUGUGGGCCAAGCCUGGGCAAGCAAGCUCCUUCCCCUCUGAGUGCUGACAUCUGGUGAGCCUGGGGUGGCCACACCCAACGGGAAGCACAGGCCCCUGGUAGGCUGCCUGGAGUCCGGCUGCACCCGCCCUCAGCAGGACCAGGGUGCCCACCACCCUGACAGCAGAACCUGGCUUUCUUCCCGCGGUCCUGGGACCAACCUGGGUGUCCGGGCCUCUGCCCGUCAGGGUAGGGGUGGGGGUGGGGGGAGUGAGUAGAACAAUGGAAGGAGAGCAGACAGGAGAGAACAGAAGAGAAGAGAGACUUGUGUCCCUCAGACACAGACAUGGUACAGUAAGACUCUGAGAUGCUGGAAAUUAAGUCCUGAGAAUAAACGAGAACAAGAGUU